AUUGAACGCUGGCGGCAGGCCUAACACAUGCGAGUCGAGCGGAUGAAGGGAGCUUGCUCCUGGAUUCAGCGGCGGACGGGUGAGUAAUGCCUAGGAAUCUGCCUGGUAGUGGGGGAUAACGUCCGGAAACGGGCGCUAAUACCGCAUACGUCCUGAGGGAGAAAGUGGGGGAUCUUCGGACCUCACGCUAUCAGAUGAGCCUAGGUCGGAUUAGCUAGUUGGUGGGGUAAAGGCCUACCAAGGCGACGAUCCGUAUCUGGUCUGAGAGGAUGAUCAGUCACACUGGAACUGAGACACGGUCCAGACUCCUACGGGAGGCAGCAGUGGGGAAUAUUGGACAAUGGGCGAAAGCCUGAUCCAGCCAUGCCGCGUGUGUGAAGAAGGUCUUCGGAUUGUAAAGCACUUUAAGUUGGGAGGAAGGGCAGUAAGUUAAUACCUUGCUGUUUUGACGUUACCAACAGAAUAAGCACCGGCUAACUUCGUG
rnacentral:rRNA from 1 species